GUAAACCAAAUUUUUCUUCUUGUUAUUGUGGCAGUUGUUGAUGAUGUUGUCAUUAAAAAUUUGUUGCGAUGUUGGGCGUUUUUGUUGUAUGGACAGCGACACUUCUUCCAAAUGGUCACUGCUGUAGCUUUGUUGUAAGCUGCUGCUGUUGUUGUUAUCCUUUGCAAUUGUCCACGACUGCAGCAAUGUUGCCAGGAUUCUCUUGCAGUAUGCAGAUAAUUGUUUUUGUUUUUAGUUGUUUGAUGUUGUUGAUGAUGACGAUGAUGCCAAACCGAUUUUUUUGUUAUUUUUAUAAUCCCAAUAAAAUGCGUUUUUAGCAUUUAA